rnacentral:misc_RNA from 1 species
GUGAAUCAUCGAAUUUUUGAACGCAAAUUGCACUCUCUUCUGAGAGGAUGCCUGUUUGAGGUUCAGUAUCAAUAAAAAUCGGCGUUUGGCUCUUUUGUGACGUGCCGGAUUUUGGGUCAUCGUAUAACAACACCCUUUCAGGGUAUUUUUAAGAGGCUUAAACUUUACCUGUUUUGUUCAUUUUGGA